AGAGUUUGAUCAUGGCUCAGGACGAACGCUGGCGGCGUGCUUAACACAUGCAAGUCGAACGGAAAGGCCCCUUCGGGGGUACUCGAGUGGCGAACGGGUGAGUAACACGUGGGUGAUCUGCCCUGCACUUUGGGAUAAGCCUGGGAAACUGGGUCUAAUACCGAAUAGGACCGCAUGCUUCAUGGUGUGUGGUGGAAAGCUUUUGCGGUGUGGGAUGGGCCCGCGGCCUAUCAGCUUGUUGGUGGGGUAAUGGCCUACCAAGGCGACGACGGGUAGCCGGCCUGAGAGGGUGUCCGGCCACACUGGGACUGAGAUACGGCCCAGACUCCUACGGGAGGCAGCAGUGGGGAAUAUUGCACAAUGGGCGCAAGCCUGAUGCAGCGACGCCGCGUGGGGGAUGACGGCCUUCGGGUUGUAAACCUCUUUCAGUAUCGGCGAAGCUCCAGGAUUUUUCUUGGGGUGACGGUAGGUACAGAAGAAGCACCGGCCAACUACGUGCCAGCAGCCGCGGUAAUACGUAGGGUGCGAGCGUUGUCCGGAAUUACUGGGCGUAAAGAGCUCGUAGGUGGUUUGUCACGUUGUCUGUGAAAACUCACAGCUUAACUGUGGGCGUGCGGGCGAUACGGGCAGACUGGAGUACUGUGGGGGAGACUGGAGUUCCUGGUGUAGCGGUGGAAUGCGCAGAUAUCAGGAGGAACACCGGUGGCGAAGGCGGGUCUCCGGGCAGUAACUGACGCUGAGGAGCGAAAGCGUGGGGAGCGAACAGGAUUAGAUACCCUGGUAGUCCAA
rnacentral:rRNA from 1 species